GGCUCGCAGGCGGUUUCUUAAGUCUGAUGUGAAAGCCCCCGGCUCAACCGGGGAGGGUCAUUGGAAACUGGGAAACUUGAGUGCAGAAGAGGAGAGUGGAAUUCCACGUGUAGCGGUGAAAUGCGUAGAGAUGUGGAGGAACACCAGUGGCGAAGGCGACUCUCUGGUCUGUAACUGACGCUGAGGAGCGAAAGCGUGGGGAGCGAACAGGAUUAGAUACCCUGGUAGUCCACGCCGUAAACGAUGAGUGCUAAGUGUUAGGGGGUUUCCGCCCCUUAGUGCUGCAGCUAACGCAUUAAGCACUCCGCCUGGGGAGUACGGUCGCAAGACUGAAACUCAAAGGAAUUGACGGGGGCCCGCACAAGCGGUGGAGCAUGUGGUUUAAUUCGAAGCAACGCGAAGAACCUUACCAGGUCUUGACAUCCUCUGACGACCCUAGAGAUAGGGCUUUCCCUUCGGGGACAGAGUGACAGGUGGUGCAUGGUUGUCGUCAGCUCGUGUCGUGAGAUGUUGGGUUAAGUCCCGCAACGAGCGCAACCCUUGAUCUUAGUUGCCAGCAUUC
rnacentral:rRNA from 1 species